rnacentral:rRNA from 1 species
UACGUAGGACCCAAGCGUUAUCCGGAUUUACUGGGCGUAAAGAGUUGCGUAGGUGGCAAAGUAAGUUAAUAGUGAAAUCGUGUGGCUCAACCAUACUCACAUUAUUAAAACUGCUUAGCUUGAAGAUGAGAGAGGUCACUGGAAUUCCAAGUGUAGGAGUGAAAUCCGUAGAUAUUUGGAGGAACACCGAUGGCGUAGGCAGGUGACUGGCUCAUUCUUGACACUAAGGCACGAAAGCGUGGGGAGCAAACGGG